rnacentral:rRNA from 1 species
CAGUCGCCACGGUAAUACGAAGGGUGCAAGCGUUACUCGGAAUUACUGGGCGUAAAGCGUGCGUAGGUGGUGGUUUAAGUCCGUUGUGAAAGCCCUGGGCUCAACCUGGGAAUUGCAGUGGAUACUGGGUCACUAGAGUGUGGUAGAGGAUAGUGGAAUUUCCGGUGUAGCAGUGAAAUGCGUAGAGAUCGGAAGGAACAUCUGUGGCGAAGGCGACUAUCUGGGCCAACACUGACGCUCAUGCACGAAAGCGUGGGGAGCAAACAGGAUUAGAUACCCCGGUAGUCCCUGUCUCUUAUAC